rnacentral:rRNA from 1 species
UGUGUGUUAGUGGAAGCGUCUGGAAAGGCGUGCGAUACAGGGUGACAGCCCCGUACACAAAAAUGCACAUAUUGUGAGCUUGAUGAGUAGGGCGGGACACGUGGUAUCCUGUCUGAAUAUGGGGGGACCAUCCUCCAAGGCUAAAUACUCCUGACUGACCGAUAGUGAACCAGUACCGUGAGGGAAAGGCGAAAAGAACCCCGGCGAGGGGAGUGAAAAAGAACCUGAAACCGUGUACGUACAAGCAGUGGGAGCACGCUUAGGCGUGUGACUGCGUACCUUUUGUAUAAUGGGUCAGCGACUUAUAUUCUGUAGCAAGGUUAACCGAAUAGGGGAGCCGAAGGGAAACCGAGUCUUAACUGGGCGUUAAGUUGCAGGGUAUAGACCCGAAACCCGGUGAUCUAGCCAUGGGCAGGUUGAAGGUUGGGUAACACUAACUGGAGGACCGAACCGACUAAUGUUGAAAAAUUAGCGGAUGACUUGUGGCUGGGGGUGAAAGGCCAAUCAAACCGGGAGAUAGCUGGUUCUCCCCGAAAGCUAUUUAGGUAGCGCCUCGUGAAUUCAUCUCCGGGGGUAGAGCACUGUUUCGGCA